rnacentral:tRNA from 6 species
CGGGGUAUAGGCCAGUCUGGUAGGUCGCUCGCUUUGGACGCGAGAGGACGGAGGUUCAAAUCCUCCUAUCCCGAC